ensembl:lncRNA
GGUUAGGCAGAUGGAGAGGGAGGGUCUCGAUAGUGAAAAAAUACCCACAGGACUGCACCACCACUGUAGCUAGGGGGAAGAAAUGCAGUUAAGAAUUUCCUCUAAUGCCAGGAUGUUGCUCAGAAGAGAGUGUCCCAAACAAGGUGCAGGUGGAAUAAAUAAACCUAAAUAUCCUUAACUUGACCCAACUCCUUUUAAUAUCAUUAGCAUGACAUUAGCAUUGUGGUUUUAGCCCUUCUGUGGGCUUCACUUAGGCAGUCAUGGGUAAUAGCCAAGAUGGAGUCACUCUGGCCAAACCCAGACAUGCGCAGAGGCAACACCCUUAGGAGAGAACCUUAUCCGUCCUGCUUGGGCAGAACCCACAGAAGACUUCCUUGCUCUUGCCACAUAAAAGACCCAGAACUCAACCCCACUUCUGGUAAUCUGAUUUCAGGUCCCCUCUCUUUGCUGAGAGUUUUCAUUUUGAUUAAUAAAUCCUACUCUACUCACCCUCUUGUGCCUGGGUGCCUCAUUCUUCUUCGUCAUGGGAUGAGAACUUGGACCUAGUUGAACUAGAGACUAAGCAGACCACAACAAUAAUCUUAAAGAAAAUGUUCCCAUUUUCUCUCAGUUAAUUAUCAUGAUUAAGUUUAAAAAAUAGAAAAUGAAUAUCAAUAAAUAAAAAUGAUAAAUUUACAAGAAAUUAAAUCCAAGAGAGUCAAUGAUUUUAUUAUUGUCAUUAAUUAGAGAUACAUACUACACACAACACACACACACACACACAGAGACACACACAGAGAGAGAAGGCACUUCAAAAGUCAACAAUGGUAGGCUUCUGGAAAUUUGUAUCAGCAAAUAUUUUGAUUAUUUGGUUUUCUACUUGGACCAUUUAUAUGUUGAUAUUAAUAUGAAACUCUAAACUGUAUAAGAUGCUAUGUCAGUAGAAGACACAUAAGUUUUUCAAGGCUGAAGGAGAAUUUUGUGAAGGAAGAAAAAUUAAAACAAAUGAGAGUCAUAUCUAUCUCACGUGGAUUUUAGAAUCAAGUCAGCUAAUGUUGUUUUUCAAAAUAUUUUUAAAAUAAUUGCUCAAGGAACUAUUUCUACUCCUCAGUUAUAUAUUUAUUUUACAGAACAUUUGAAUUGGUUCAUGAAAGUGAAUCUUUGAAACACUUAUAUGGAUCCCAGACUUAUUGUUAUUGUCUUGUUUCCUUUUAUCGUCCAUUUCUGUCCCUCUUCUUUGGCAUGUUAUUGACAUGCUGUUGUUAUUCAUGGUGAUAGCUUUGGCUAUUUAUCCCACUUCAUAUACUUUCCUUUACUUAUAUUAUCUUAAAAUGCCUUCUAGCAUCAAAAUCUCUAUUUCAAAUGGUUAAGGAUACUUUGAAUGAAGAUAAUAACAAUUACUUGAUGGUGAGUCUAUGUAGUGUAGUAUUUGUAUUUGCUAUUAAAACUGUAAAAUAUAUUCUUUUGAAAUAUUACACAUGUAAAAAUAUUUAAAUUUCUUCUACUGAGAGGUGAAGUCAACUGGAUUUCCUGGGUCAAAUGGGGACUUGGAGAACUUUUCUGUCCAACUAGAGGAUUGUAAACACACCAAUCAGUGCUCUGUGUCUAGCUAAAGGAUUGUAAAUGCACGAAUCAGCAGUCUAUAAAAACACACCCAGCCUGGGCGACAGAGCGAGACUCC